GACGAACGCUGGCGGCGUGCCUAAUACAUGCAAGUAGAACGCACAGUUUAUACCGUAGCUUGCUACACCAUAGACUGUGAGUUGCGAACGGGUGAGUAACGCGUAGGUAACCCGCCUGGUAGCGGGGGAUAACUAUUGGAAACGAUAGCUAAUACCGCAUAAUAUUGAUUAUUGCAUGAUAAUUGAUUGAAAGAUGCUAUUGCAUCACUACCAGAUGGACCUGCGUUGUAUUAGCUAGUAGGUGAGGUAACGGCUCACCUAGGCGACGAUACAUAGCCGACCUGAGAGGGUGAUCAGCCACACUGGGACUGAGACACGGCCCAGACUCCUACGGGAGGCAGCAGUAGGGAAUCUUCGGCAAUGGACGAAAGUCUGACCGAGCAACGCCGCGUGAGUGAAGAAGGGUUUCGGAUCGUAAAGCUCGGUUGUAAGAGAAGAACGGGUGUGAGAGUGGAAAGUUCACACUGUGACGGUAGCUUACCAGAAAGGGACGGCUAACUACGUG
rnacentral:rRNA from 1 species